rnacentral:SRP_RNA from 1 species
CGGUCUCGCGCAAUGGGUGCCUACGAACCGUGUCAGGUUGGGAACAAAGCAGCACUAAGUAGGAAUUCUCAUGUGCCGUGAGG